GGCCCGCCGCGGCCACGCCGCCUGGCGCCCCUUCAGCCAGUUUCUCCCCUCCGUGCCGCGGCGUCCCCUAAGGGCUGGACGCGGAAACGACCUCGACUGAAGCUCUUGUCUUGUAGGGGAGGAGGGGCGCCAGGGAAAUGUCUACCACCCGAGCCCGAGCGAGCCCAGCGUUCCCGGGGCUCAGCCUCAGCCACCCAGCCCGGCUGCUUGGUUUCCCUCGGGAGACCGACCGCUGCUGAGGGUCACUCUCUGCACGUCCCCGGAGGAGAGGGGCUGCAUUACCAGACUUACACAGCACAUGCAAUGAUGUCGAAUGUGGGACGACCAUGGACCAGUGGGUAGGAGGUCUUGUGGAUCCAGUCAUUGUUCAUUUCCUCACCAAAGAAUUUUCAACAGAACAAGAACCUUCUCAACUUAUUCAUAGUUACAUUCCUAGGGCAAGAACACUGACUGGCACUGGUUCAAUAAACACUGGGGUUUGUGGCUUCAGGUUCAGUUGUUCUCAGGCGUAAGUGCACAUCACUAUCACCUGGGCAAUUUGUUAACUUUCAGACUCAACCCCUACUCUAGUCCCUUCCCACAAUAACUCUGCCGUUGUAAGUCUGCGGUUGCUGCAGUGGGUCUUCGGGAGCUGCCUAGUUAACCAGCCCUGCAGAUAGGCCUCCUAUGGAUUCCACUGCAACAUGAAGAAAAGAAAAAUCCACACAACUGGGCCAAUAGGCAGCAUCAUGAUAAAUGGAGAAAAUAUCAAAGUUAUGAAGAAUUUCAUCUUACUUGGAUCUACAAUCAAUACCCAUAGCACCAGCUGUCAACAAAAUCAGAUACCCUAUUGAUUUGAGAAAAUAUACUGCAAAAGACUUCAUUGAAGUACUUAAAAGCAAAGGUAUCACUUUGAGGCCCACGGUGCAACUGACCCAAGAGAUGGCAUUUUCGUUGGUCACAUGUGCAUGCGAAGCUGGACAAUGAAUAAACGAGGCUGAAGAAUUGAUGCCUCUGAAUUAUAGUGUUGGUGAAGAAUUGAAUACACUGUGGACUUCCAAAAGAGUGAACUAAGCUGUCCUGGAGGAAAUACAGUGAGACUGCUCCUUAGAAGUGAGCACGGCAAGAGUUUGUCUCCCGUGCUUCGGCCAUGUUAUCAGGAGAAAGAUGUCCUUGGAGAAAGACCUCCAGCUCGGUAAAGAGCAGAGCCAGUGGAAAGAGGAAGCCCCUCUAGGACAUGGACGGACACCGCGGUUGCAACCAGGGAUUCAAACAUGACAAUCGUUGUGAGGAGGAUGCAGGACCCAGUCGUGUUUGUUCUGCACAUUUGGGUUGUAAUGCAUCAGAACGGACUCACAGACACCUUAGCAGCAAAGACUAGCAGCAGCAAAUGGGCAGUGGAAUAUAAUUGGAGAACUAGGAUUUUGGAUAGAUCCACGUUCAUUCAACCAUUUACCUUAGAAAUCACACUUUAGUGUCAUUCCAAAAAAACUAAGUAUGACUUUGAGGACUCUCAAAUACAGUGGUAUUCUAUAAUGCAAUGAAACCAUAAAUCCUGGAGUCCUUCCUGUCUCAUUUGGCUGACAUACUGCCUUUGGAGACCAGGAAAAGGUCUCUGAGAAGAGUCCUUCAUAAGAAAAAGGCGGCUGCCCGUGAUCCGUGAUUUCCAGGACCGCAGGACAGUCCACCUCUUUUACCGCAUUUUUAAGCUCUCCCAGGCUUAUUUUCAGGUGUGUGAAAUUCCUUUAUGUGUUCACUAGAAUAAAUGCCUGUUGUUUCU